rnacentral:rRNA from 1 species
AUUGAACGCUGGCGGCAUGCCUUACACAUGCAAGUCGAACGGCAGCACGGACUUCGGUCUGGUGGCGAGUGGCGAACGGGUGAGUAAUGUAUCGGAACGUACCCUUCAGUGGGGGAUAACUAUCCGAAAGGAUAGCUAAUACCGCAUAUUCUCUGAGGAGGAAAGCGGGGGAUCGCAAGACCUCGCGCUGAUGGAGCGGCCGAUAUCAGAUUAGCUAGUUGGUGGGGUAAAGGCCUACCAAGGCGACGAUCUGUAGCGGGUCUGAGAGGAUGAUCCGCCACACUGGAACUGAGACACGGCCCAGACCCCUACGAGAGGCAGCAGUGGGGAAUUUUGGACCAUGGGGGCAACCCUGAUCCAGCCAUGCCGCGUGAGUGAAGAAGGCCUUCGGGUUGUAAAGCUCUUUCGGCCGGGAAGAAAUUGCGUGAGUUAAUACCUUGCGUGGAUGACGGUACCGGAAUAAGAAGCACCGGCUAACUACGUGCCAGCCGCCGCAGUAA